GAUGAACGCUGGCGGCGUGCCUAAUACAUGCAAGUCGAGCGAAGCGGGGACGGGUGAGUAACGCGUGGGUAACCUCCUAUAAGACGGGAUUAAUUUCGGGAAACCGGAGUUAAACGGGUUACUUAUCGAUUGAGCCGAGCUGGAUUAGCGAGUUGGUAAGGUAACGGCUUACCAAGGCAACGAUGCAUAGCCGGCCUGAGAGGGUGACCAGCCACACUGGAACUGAGACACGGUCCAGACUCCUACGGGAGGCAGCAGUAGGGAAUCUUCCGCAAUGGGCGAAAGCCUGACGGAGCAACGCCGCGUGAGUGAAGAAGGUCUUCGGAUCGUAAAACUCUGUUAUUAGGGAAGCGGUACCUAAUCAGAAAGCCACGGCUAACUACGUGCCAGCAGCCGCGGUAAUUC
rnacentral:rRNA from 1 species